rnacentral:rRNA from 1 species
UCUGGUUGAUCCUGCCAGUAGUGAUAUGCUUGUUUCAAAGAUUAAGCCAUGCAUGUCUAAGUAUAAGCGAACUUAUACAGUGAAACUGCGGAUGGCUCAUUAAAACAGUUUGAAUUUAUUUGAUGAAUGUAUGAGAAUACUACUUGGAUAACCGUAGUAAUUCUAGAGCUAAUACAUGCAACGACGCCCGACCGUUUCACUACGGAAGGGCUGUAUUUAUUGGAUACCAAAACCAUCCUUCCCUCGGGAAGUUUUGUUUGAUGAUUCACAAUAACUGAUCGGAUCGCCACUGUGGUGGCGACAGGUCAUUCAACAUUCUGCCCUAUCAGCUUUCGAUGGUUGUGUAGUGGACAACCAUGGCCAUAACGGGUAACGGAGAAUCAGGGUUCGAUUCCGGAGAAGGAGCUUGAGAAUUGGCUACUACAUCUAAGGAAGGCAGCAGGCGCGCAAAUUACCCAAUCCCGAUUCGGGGAGGUAGUGACAAAAAAUAACAAUACCGGGCCUUUUUGGGCUUGGUAAUUGGAAUGAGGGAGAGUUAAACGGACCGUCGAGUAUCCAUUGGAGGGCAAGUCUGGUGCCAGCAGCUGCGGUAAUACCAGCUCCAAUAGCGUAUAUUAAAGUUGUUGCAGUUAAAAAGCUCGUAGUUGGACUUGUGUGCGCUGUCCGCGGGUGGCCUGCGCCCAAAAGGGCGUUUCGGUUCGGCCCCGGUGGCGCCUUGAAAUCUGCAGCUGGGGGGACGUUGGCCUUAACUGGUCGGCGACCGCACGCCGGCUGCUCGGUUACUGUGAGAAAAUUAGAGUGUUCAAGGCAGGCAUUGGGUGCAAUUGAAUACAUUAGCAUGGAAUAAUAAAAUAUGGCUCCUGCCGUAUUUUGUUGGUUUUGACUGGUGGGAGUAAUGAUUGAUAGGGACGGUUGGGGGUGCUAGUAUUGAGCGGCCAGAGGUGAAAUUCAUGGAUUCGCUCAAGACUAACUUAUGCGAAAGCAUUCACCAAGGACGUCCUCUUUAAUCAAGAACGAAAGUUGGGGGAUCGAAGACGAUCAGAUACCGUCGUAGUCUCAACCAUAAACUAUGUCGACUUGGGAUCGGCGGUAGUUUUUUCAUUAAGACACUGUCGGGACCACGGGAGAAAUCAAAGUGUCUGGACUCUGGGGGAAGUAUGGUCGCAAGGCUGAAACUUGAAGGAAUUGACGGAAGGGCACCACCAGGAGUGGAGCCU